rnacentral:rRNA from 1 species
AUCUUGGGAAAUUUCAUCGUGAUGGGGAUAGAUCAUUGCAAUUGUUGGUCUUCAACGAGGAAUGCCUAGUAAGCGCGAGUCAUCAGCUCGCGUUGACUACGUCCCUGCCCUUUGUACACACCGCCCGUCGCUCCUACCGAUUGAAUGGUCCGGUGAAGUGUUCGGAUCGCGGCGACGGGGGCGGUUCGCCGCCCCCGACGUCAUGAGAAGUCCAUUGAACCUUAUCAUUUAGAGGAAGGAGAAGUCGUAACAAGGUUUCCGUAGGUGAACCUGCGGAAGGAUCAUUG